AUUGAACGCUGGCGGCAUGCCUUACACAUGCAAGUCGAACGGCAGCACGGGGCAACCUGGUGGCGAGUGGCGAACGGGUGAGUAAUGCAUCGGAACGUGCCCAGUAGUGGGGGAUAGCCCGGCGAAAGCCGGAUUAAUACCGCAUACGACCUACGGGUGAAAGCGGGGGACCGUAAGGCCUCGCGCUAUUGGAGCGGCCGAUGUCAGAUUAGGUUGUUGGUGGGGUAAAAGCCUACCAAGCCGACGAUCUGUAGCUGGUCUGAGAGGACGACCAGCCACACUGGGACUGAGACACGGCCCAGACUCCUACGGGAGGCAGCAGUGGGGAAUUUUGGACAAUGGGGGCAACCCUGAUCCAGCCAUGCCGCGUGCGGGAAGAAGGCCUUCGGGUUGUAAAUCGCUUUUGUCAGGGAAGAAACGCUCUGAGCUAAUACCUCGGAGUAAUGACGGUACCUGAAGAAUAAGCACCGGCUAACUACGUGCCAGCAGCCGCCGUAAGAC
rnacentral:rRNA from 1 species